GCUUUUCUUCUUUUCUUUUUUCUUUCUUUCUUUCUUUUUUUUUUAAGAAAAAAACUAAAGAUAUCUGUUGCCAGUAUUUAUAGCAGCGGGCUACUAAGCCUGAAUAUAUUACAUUAAGUUUAAUACAAUUCGUAGUCACUUCAAAACCCAGGUUCUCUUAGUCUGUGUGUACUUAAGAGGAAUGAAAUCAAAUUAGUAUAUAGUUUAGGACUGUAUAGGUAAUGCUCUUUUGUUAUCCAUGUUAUAGAAACUGUUUUUCAAGAACAGAUAGGUUUUCAUCUUCCAAUAAUGAUUACGGUUUAUUGCUAAAUAUCUUACAUUCCUUUUUUAUUUGGACUGCUAAGGAGAAAUGCUUGUUAAGAAACAAACUAGUCAAUUUCCAGUGCGGAGAGAAAGAGCAGAGGACCCAGCGGUUACUGUGUAAUCAGGAACAAGUACAGUGAGGAUGUGUUUCUGCCACCUCAUUCCGCCAGGUGGCAGGCACCUAUAGUCCCAGUGCAUCUCUGUGAGCUCCAGGGGAGCCCGGCCCACACAGUGAGAUCAGGACAGCCAGAGCUACAUAGUGAGGCCCAGGAAGAAAGAAAAGAGAUAACAUAUUUCUGUCACUUCAUUCUGUUUGAAUGGGUCUUAUGUUAAUAUUUUUUAUUAUGAGAACAGAAAGUUACAUACAUUCUUCCCACAAACAAAAAGAAAACAGAAAACUGAAUACUUAUAUCUCUAAUUGUAUAUUUUUGCUUUCUUAGGUAGAAACUGGAACUAUUAAUAUUUUUGAGUAUUUAAAUAAGUAGUUUUUAAAAAAUGGUAUCUAAAUGAGUUUAAAAAUGUAUUUGUCUUCUAAACUCAUGUAUAGUCACAACAUGUCAGUGUUGGCUAAAGGUGCUUAGUACCAGUUUUUGAAAACUAUGUUUACAUAUUUAAAUAUUUAAUUCUUUACAAAUGUACAAGAUCUUAAACAAAAGUGUAUAAAAAUUUCAGUAUCUGUAUUUGGCGUUCUCUUAACAACUCCACAGCAAAAUUUGGCAAUACUCUUUUGUUCAUGUAUUACAAGAUGUAGUAUCUGUAGUGGAAAGCUGGACAUUUAAAAUAAGCAGUUAGAAAAUCAUAAUCAUAGCCUGGCUUGUUUCUCUGCAGUUUUCAUGGUCUAGGCCUCCAGGUAAACUUAGUAUAUACCCAGGAAAUUACAGAUAAACAACCACAGGAGACUUGACCCUCGGUAGUAAUUUUCUGUGUAAGCAGCCAAUGUACUUAGAGAGCUUUAACAUCUUAUGCAGAGUGAAUGUUUCCUAACUGAUAGGAAACAUAAGCUUGGAGAUCCGGUCCUGCAUUGAAGUUUUUAAUUUUAAGCCCCAGCUUGUGCUUUAUCUUGCUUAUAUCCUGUCAAGCUAUAUACUUAAUCAUGUGGGUUUGAGAUAGUGUUUGCUUUAUACUAGAUUUGUAAAAAGAUUUUAAAAUAUGUAUGUAUAUAUUGUAACUUGAUGUACAGUGUUCUUAUUAUAAUGUAAUUUUUAUUAAAAAAUUCUGUUUUUUUCU
rnacentral:lncRNA from 1 species